CCCCCCCCCCCCGACCGUUUACCUGAAAAUCUCAUAAAUUGGGAAAACUACAAUUCUACUGGUGCAGCUUCCAAAAACACUUGGCAGCCAAAUAUCAUGGGCCAGCCCUGUCUUUUUUGUGUGUAGACUGGCAGACAAGGCCUAUAAAUAGAAGAAAUUAAAGAUGAGAAGGGCAUUCAGACAGUUCCUUGAUAGGUUGGGCUAGCUGGACGUUCAUCCCUGACCCACUGAACCCCAUUUGGAGUCCACAAAGCAUGAAGAAGAAUUAUGCAAACUUGUCCCAGAGGCAUGAUGCUAGGCUGGACUCCAAAGUGACAAAGCUUCAGGAUUUACAGAAGAGGGACUGGAUGAACAAGAAAACAGGUCCCCUGUAUGUUUCCAUUCCCUCAGCAGGUGAACACAAAUUUAAGUUACCAUAUUAAUAAGAAUGCAGAGUCAGCCCAACACAGUUUGGUGCCCCUGGAAGCAUAUCCAAAUAGCAGUCUCUCUCCCAUUCAUUAACGGGGGGACACAACCCAUUGGGAUAUUCUAUCAUGAAAGCCAGGCAGGAGUUCAACUCUGCUCCUAGUCAUUUAAAUGGGACUUUGUCAACAGAUCCUGCCAAGACAUUGUGGUCUCUGGAUUCCCCAACUAUUCUCAUCCUGGAUCUUCUGCUAGAGGUGGCCAUGGUAGUAGGGGCACCUCUGGCUACACACACUGGACACCCUUGUCUCCUGACUUUUUGAACAACUCAUUUUCAAGGUAUUUCUUCAGGUUUGAUUCUCUGCACAAGCUCAUACACGGCUCAUGGGAAGCUGACGCAAAUCAUUCUAAAGAAAAAACCUGGGCCACGUUUGUGCAGUGGGAUUCUGGCACAACCAGUCCCCAAUGCCACACAAAGCUUUCCUUUAAAGUCUUUGUGUCGUCUGCAAGUUCCAGCCCAAAACUUAAAAGAACCCUACUAAAAAUGCUUGUAAAAAUAAAUAAGCAGCACAAAAAUAAUACACAGGCAGAGUAAAAACACACACCUAUAAAUAUAACACAGAACAACAAGCUUGGAUAAGGUAAACAUCUUGUUUCAGAGUGGGGAAGAGGAGGGGAAUCCAAUGGAUUGGAUCUGCAGCAAGCGCAGCAGGAGGGCUCCAAAGGUAGGAACAAUGGAAAAUGGGUUUACAUCACAGCCUGUGAAACAGUUACAGCAAUGCAGGCCGCUGCUUGGCUUCCAAUGCCAGUUAUAGUGUAUUAGUUCUCAGGAUUAUCAAGAAAAUGGCAAGGUACAAUCAAAGAAAUUAGGGAAGUGGGAGGAGACUUAAAGACCAAGCUUUAUAACAUGCCACUAACCUGUGACAAGGAGGACUGCCCGUUGGUACAUUUCCAGAAGCAGGGAUACAGCCAUAUAUGUUACCUCUGCAUUCUCACCACUACCUUUGUUAAUGAACAUCCACCAAGAUAUUUUUGUGUUCAAACCUCACUGAUGCUAACAGGAGCUGCACAAAAGAGAUCCUGUUCAUUUCAAUGAGACUUGUGCAGAACUUCUCCAAUCCAUGGGUUAGGUCCUUCUGCCACGCAGUAGGCCCUUCUCCCUUGGAGCAGCUGCCUCAUGGUAAGAUUCCUCUGCUUGAGGCACACAGGGGAGACAGAAGGGGGUAUGUGGUGCUGGUGGCAACAGUUGGGGUGGAGAAGAGCAGGGAAGAGGAGCAGUGGUUCAGGCAAGUGUAGCAAGGGGUCAUCUCCCAAUUCCCAAAGCAAAUAAUAUCCAGGCACACCUUAAGGCUUCAAGUAAUGCCAAUUAAGCCUCUUCUCCCCCAGCCCCCUCACUGAUAAACCAAUCACCUUCACAACAUCAGUCAAAGCCACUCUUGUAUUCAGAGAGUUGAUUCAGUUCCUCAUGAUGCAGUAUUGCAAAAGAACAAGGUAGGCAAUUGGCCUAAAAUAACUGCAGACUUGGAGGAGGAAAGAUACUUCUGGUUCAAACACUCAGAAGGUAGCUUGCCUAGUAUUAGAGACAAACAAUGGUUGUAAAGGUGCUAAAAGAUACAUACAAGUGAAGCAUUGUUGCCUAUUCUGUAGACACUUAUUUCUUCUGCCCACCGCCCUGGUCUAGCAGGGUUUGCAUGAUUUUGAAGCGCUGCAAAAAUCUGUUUGAUCCAAGUAAUAAAAGUGUGCACACACAGGCAAUGGCAACAAAUGAGGAUUCUAUUAUACCACCUAUUUGCUAUGUUUUCAGCCUA